GACGAACGCUGGCGGCGUGCCUAACACAUGCAAGUCGAGCGGGGAUUUAAGUGGAAGUUCUUCGGAAUGGAGAUUUAAAUUCUAGCGGCGGACGGGCGAGUAACGCGUGAACAAUCUGUCCCGGACAGGGGGAUAACACUUGGAAACAGGUGCUAAUACCGCAUAAGACCACGGCCUCGCAUGGGGCUGAGGUAAAAGGAGCAAUCCGGUUCGGGGUGAGUUCGCGUCCGAUUAGCUAGUUGGUGAGGUAACGGCCCACCAAGGCGACGAUCGGUAGCCGGCCUGAGAGGGUGAACGGCCACAUUGGAACUGAGAGACGGUCCAAACUCCUACGGGAGGCAGCAGUGGGGAAUAUUGGGCAAUGGGCGAAAGCCUGACCCAGCAACGCCGCGUGAGGGAAGAAGGUUUUCGGAUUGUAAACCUCUGUCCUAUGGGACGAAGGAAGUGACGGUACCAUAGGAGGAAGCCCCGGCUAACUACGUG
rnacentral:rRNA from 1 species